UGCCUUACACAUGCAAGUCGAACGGCAGCACGGGGGCAACCCUGGUGGCGAGUGGCGAACGGGUGAGUAAUACAUCGGAACGUGUCCUAUCGUGGGGGAUAGCUCGGCGAAAGCCGGAUUAAUACCGCAUGUGAUCGAGAGAUGAAAGCAGGGGACCGCAAGGCCUUGCGCGAUUGGAGCGGCCGAUGUCGGAUUAGCUUGUUGGCGGGGUAAAAGCCCACCAAGGCGACGAUCCGUAGCUGGUUUGAGAGAACGACCAGCCACACUGGGACUGAGACACGGCCCAGACUCCUACGGGAGGCAGCAGUGGGGAAUUUUGGACAAUGGGGGAAACCCUGAUCCAGCCAUGCCGCGUGUGUGAAGAAGGCCUUCGGGUUGUAAAGCAC
rnacentral:rRNA from 1 species